rnacentral:rRNA from 1 species
AUCAAGCAGGAUACCGUUGGAAUUAAAGAGCACAAAUACCUUGCGUUUUUUCAGAUGCGCUACCAUCCUGAAAAGCUCUUUGUUUAAGAGCGGUUCGCCGACGCCGUGAAGCGUUGCGCGCUCCAACCCGGGCAAUUGGUCU